GACAGUCCUUUGGUGAAAUGAGACUCACCUGAUGGUCUCUGGGAGCAUCUUGAUGAGAGGAGGGACCUCUCCAGAGUCUGAGACGUUGGUAGGGGCCAUUUUUCUGACCUGGUCCAGGCCUGCUGACACCGACCCUAGUAGGUGCCAUUGAGAUUCAUCCCUUGGCCUGUUAGCCCAGGGGUCUGCCACACCCACUAGACCACAGAUUUAAUCCAGUUCAGUCAAGGCAAGCAGCCCACCCAUGGACUGGCCCCACCCAACAGCAAGCCCUCUGGCUACUUUUCAGCCUGCAUUGACUGGAUGCCUUGAUCCUCUACAGGCAGGAAGAAGAAAUGAGAUUUGAUUGUUUCAGCUGAGGUUAAAGGAGAUAAGACAUUUAAGAAAUUGAAAUUUGGUACAAAAUGUAAUUGAAACAACACAUUCUAACAAACAAGAUGCAUUUUUAUUGUAAUUUGCUAUGUUUAAUGAAUGAUUUUUUUUAAUGAUUGGGAAGAUGCUUAGAACAAUGGACUCCGGACAUAAGUUGCUUGGGUUAGAUUUUGUUACUAAUUUUAUAAUGAAUUGCUCAUAAAAGUGAUUUAAAUCACUAAAUAUUUUCAGGCGUUCAGCAUUUUAGAAUAAUUGCCACCAUAUAAUGGAAAAUCUAUAUAAUAAGUAAUAUUGAUACUCAGCACCAUGACAAAUUAAUAGGCACUUGUCUCUCAGUAUGUUGACCACAAGUUGAAAUAACCAGAAAAAAGCAUUAGAAUUCCAAAAUAAAUUAUAAAAAUCACUGAUCUUUCAAAACCAGUAAGGAAAAUAAACAAAGCAAAAUGGAUUUUAGUAGCGAGUUUAAAAAAAAAAAAAAAAAGGGCCAGCCCCCUGGCCUAGUGGUUAAGUUCACUCGCUCCACCUUUGGCGGCCCUGGGUUUCACCAGUUUGGAUCCUAAGCAUGGACAUGGCACCGCUCAUCAGGCCAUGUUGAAGUGGCGUCCCAGAUGCCACAACUAGGAGGACCCACAACUAAAAAUAUACA
rnacentral:lncRNA from 1 species